rnacentral:rRNA from 1 species
GCAGUCGCCGCGGUAAUACGAAGGGGGCUAGCGUUGUUCGGAAUUACUGGGCGUAAAGGGCGCGUAGGCGGCCAUUCAAGUUAGAUGUGAAAGCCCUGGGCUCAACCUAGGAAUUGCAUUUGAUACUGUUUGGCUUGAGUUCGGGAGAGGUGAGUGGAAUUCCCAGUGUAGAGGUGAAAUUCGUAGAUAUUGGGAAGAACACCAGUGGCGAAGGCGGCUCACUGGACCGACACUGACGCUGAGGCGCGAAAGCGUGGGGAGCAAACAGGAUUAGAUACCCCCGUAGUCCCUGUCUCUUAUAC